CACAAAUAUGAAGGCGGGCUGGAACCUCUCGGGGUUACAGCCUUGCUGAAUUAUUCACCCUUGUCUUUUGCGUACUUCUUGUUUCCUUGGUGGGUUCGCCCACCACUAGGACAAACAUAAACCUUUUGUAAUUGCAAUCAGCGUCAGUAACGAAUUAAUAAUUA
rnacentral:misc_RNA from 1 species